AUACUUACCUGGCAGGGGAGAUACCAUGAUCAAGAAGGUGGUUCACCCAGGGCGAGGCUUGGCCAUUGCACUCCGGCCACGCUGACCCCUCCCAGUGACAUCACUCGUAGAAGAAGUGCAAAAAAGGUGGACCUCAAGCUUAAGCUCCCCCU
rfam:Danio rerio chromosome 3, GRCz11 reference primary assembly.